CAGUAGCCGCGGUAAUACGGAGGGCGCGAGCGUUACCCGGAUUUACUGGGCGUAAAGGGCGUGUAGGCGGCCUGGGGCGUCCCAUGUGAAAGGCCACGGCUCAACCGUGGAGGAGCGUGGGAUACGCUCAGGCUAGAGGGUGGGAGAGGGUGGUGGAAUUCCCGGAGUAGCGGUGAAAUGCGCAGAUACCGGGAGGAACGCCGAUGGCGAAGGCAGCCACCUGGUCCACUUCUGACGCUGAGGCGCGAAAGCGUGGGGAGCAAACCGGAUUAGAUACCCGCGUAGUCCCUGUAUCUUAUAA
rnacentral:rRNA from 1 species